UGGGGAAUUUUGGACAAUGGGCGAAAGCCUGAUCCAGCAAUGCCGCGUGUGUGAAGAAGGCCUUCGGGUUGUAAAGCACUUUUGUCCGGAAAGAAAUCCUUGGCUCUAAUACAGUCGGGGGAUGACGGUACCGGAAGAAUAAGCACCGGCUAACUACGUGCCAGCAGCCGCGGUAAUACGUAGGGUGCAAGCGUUAAUCGGAAUUACUGGGCGUAAAGCGUGCGCAGGCGGUUUGCUGAGACCGAUGUGAAAUCCCCGGGCUCAACCUGGGAACUGCAUUGGUGACUGGCAGGCUAGAGUAUGGCAGAGGGGGGUAGAAUUCCACGUGUAGCAGUGAAAUGCGUAGAGAUGUGGAGGAAUACCGAUGGCGAAGGCAGCCCCCUGGGCCAAUACUGACGCUCAUGCACGAAAGCGUGGGGAGCAAACAGGAUUAGAUACCCUGGUAGUCCACGCCCUAAACGAUGUCAACUAGUUGUUGGGGAUUCAUUUCCUUAGUAACGUAGCUAACGCGUGAAGUUGACCGCCUGGGGAGUACGGUCGCAAGAUUAAAACUUAAAUGAAUUGACGGGGUCAUAGCUGUUUCCU
rnacentral:rRNA from 1 species